CAGAUUAUGAUGGUAUGAGUUGGAAUCCUGACAGGAAGAGGUCACAAUCAUCUUUGAAGAGAAUUAAAUGAAAGAACUACUCUCAGAGGUGCAGGUAGUUAAGGAUAAGUUAAGGAUACCCAGACCCCCGGAACUAGCUGCAGCAGGAUGCUUCUGUCAUCCUGGGCUGAAAAGGGAAAAGGGCAAGACUAUGUUACCAGAGCCUUAUGAGGAUCUCCAUUGACCAAAGCAAACUGAAACAAGCAACAGUCAUGGGAGUCCAGGUAACGCAGUCCAUAGAGGCCAGACUUCUGAGGCUGGGCUGUUGGCAGUGACUAAAGAAAUCAUCUAGUAGUUUAAAGAAGUCACGAAGGUUUUCAAAGGAACAGAGGAAGCUACAUGAAGAGAAAGGGGAAGCUCAAUUUACCGCAUAAAUUUUCUUUUCAAACGCUGUGAAGAUCACUUCGGAAGGAGAACAGUUUUGCAGUGAGGUUUGGGGAUUACAAGAAAAUUUCAAUUGGCCUAACUCACCAGUUUCCAGCAGCACCACCAUGACUAGACCUUCAAAGAGGAGAGAGAGACAGACUGUGAGCCGGGUACUGACAGAGAGAGGGAGACACAGAAUCUGAA